AGGGUAGGUUUAGCACGUAGGCGUCAUGAACGGCGAAUCGUGCAUGUUACUGGUACGGGCAAGUAGUAUCUAUGAAGAUUCCUCCCU
rfam:Glossina brevipalpis unplaced genomic scaffold Scaffold118, whole genome shotgun sequence.